UACGUAGGGGGCUAGCGUUGUCCGGAUUUAUUGGGCGUAAAGAGCGUGUAGGCGGCCAUGUAGGUCCGGUGUGAAAACUCGAGGCUUAACCUCGAGAUGUCAUCGGAAACCAUUUGGCUAGAGUCCGGAAGAGGAGAGUGGAAUUCCUGGUGUAGCGGUGAAAUGCGCAGAUAUCAGGAGGAACACCGAUGGCGAAGGCGGGUCUCUGGGCCGAUACUGACGCUGAGGAGCGAAAGCGUGGGGAGCGAACAGG
rnacentral:rRNA from 1 species